GGGAAUGGGCCAUAGCUCAGUGGUAAAGCAUCUAUUCUGCAUAUAAAAGGUUCCAGGUACUAUUCCUGGCAUCUCCA